GCGCACGGGUGCGUAACGCGUAUACAAUCUACCUUUUGCUGAGGGAUAGCCCAGAGAAAUUUGGAUUAAUACCUCAUGGUAUUAUUGAUAGGCAUCUAUUAAUAAUUAAAGGUUACGGCAAAAGAUGAGUAUGCGUCCCAUUAGCUAGUUGGUGAAGUAACGGUUCACCAAGGCAACGAUGGGUAGGGGUCCUGAGAGGGAGAUCCCCCACACUGGUACUGAGACACGGACCAGACUCC
rnacentral:rRNA from 1 species